rnacentral:rRNA from 1 species
AACGAACGCUGGCGGCGUGGAUAAGACAUGCAAGUCGAACGGGACUAGGUUUGUAGUAAUACAGGCUUGGUUCAGUGGCGCACGGGUGCGUAACACGUGAGCAAUCUGCCGGGAAGUGGGGGAUAGCUCGCCGAAAGGCGAAUUAAUACCGCAUGUGGCCAUCCUUCGAUUGGAGGAAAAGCCAAAGCAGCAAUGCGCUUCCUGAUGAGCUCGCGGCCUAUCAGCUAGAUGGCGGGGUAACAGCCCACCAUGGCGAUGACGGGUAGCUGGUCUGAGAGGACGACCAGCCACACUGGAACUGAGAUACGGUCCAGACACCUACGGGAGGCUG